ACGGAAGGCAGCAGUGGGGACUAUUGGGCAAUGGGCGAAAGCCUGACCCAGCAACGCCGCGUGAAGGAAGAAGGUCUUCGGAUUGUAAACUUCUUUUAUGAGGGACGAAGGACGUGACGGUACCUCAUGAAUAAGCCACGGCUAACUACGUGCCAGCAGCCGCGGUAAUACGUAGGUGGCAAGCGUUAUCCGGAUUUACUGGGUGUAAAGGGCGCGUAGGCGGGAAGGCAAGUCAGAUGUGAAAUCCAUGGGCUCAACCCAUGAACUGCAUUUGAAACUGUUUUUCUUGAGUGCUGGAGAGGUAGACGGAAUUCCUUGUGUAGCGGUGAGAUGCGUAGAUAUAAGGAAGAACACCAGUGGCGAAGGCGGUCUACUGGACAGUAACUGACGCUGAGGCGCGAAAGCGUGGGGAGCAAACAGGAUUAGAUACCCUGGUA
rnacentral:rRNA from 1 species